CAGAGGCACGCAGGGCCGCAGGGAAGGGGCGGGGCAGAACUGGAGAACCCGGAGAAAGCAGCCAGGCUUGACCGCGCGUCCUCCAGGUCUCUAGUGCUAUGGCUGCAGACCUCAUAACUUGAGUAGUAUUGCAUCUCCCCGCGCUAGUGCCGCCCCGGCCGCCUGGGUACGACGACGGGUGGAGGGGCACCGAGGCCCCACACCUGCCUGCAGCGCUCCGCUUCAGCUCCAUUUAACCUGUGGCAGGAGCUGUGAAAAAAGUGCAAAUAUGGAGGAGGAAAGAACAGAAUUCUGAACUGCAUUAAUCAUUUAAGCAUAUAUCCUCAAUAAAAUGUAUUCCAUAAAUCAAA